GACGAACGCUGGCGGCGUGCUUAACACAUGCAAGUCGAACGGAAAGGCCCUGCUUGCCGGGUACUCGAGUGGCGAACGGGUGAGUAACACGUGGGUGAUCUGCCCUGCACUUCGGGAUAAGCCUGGGAAACUGGGUCUAAUACCGGAUAGGAGCCAUUUUUAGUGUGAUGGUUGGAAAGUUUUUUCGGUGUAGGAUGAGCUCGCGGCCUAUCAGCUUGUUGGUGGGGUAAUGGCCUACCAAGGCGGCGACGGGUAGCCGGCCUGAGAGGGUGGACGGCCACAGUGGGACUGAGAUACGGCCCAGACGCCGACGGGAGGCAGCAGUGGGGAAUAUUGCACAAUGGGCGCAAGCCUGAUGCAGCGACGCCGCGUGGGGGAUGACGGCCUUCGGGUUGUAAACGCCUUUCGCUAGGGACGAAGCUUUUUGUGACGGUACCUAGAGAAGAAGCACCGGCUAACUACGUG
rnacentral:rRNA from 1 species